rnacentral:rRNA from 1 species
CACGUAGGGGGCAAGCGUUGUCCGGAUUUAUUGGGCGUAAAGAGCUCGUAGGUGGUUCGGUAAGUCAGGUGUGAAACCUCCAGGCUCAACCUGGAGACGCCACUUGAUACUGCUGUGACUGGAGUCCGGUAGGGGAGCGUGGAAUUCCUGGUGUAGCGGUGAAAUGCGCAGAUAUCGGGAGGAACACCGGUGGCGAAGGCGGUUCUCUGG